rnacentral:rRNA from 1 species
GACGAACGCUGGCGGCGUGCUUAACACAUGCAAGUCGAACGGAAAGGCCCUGCUUUUGUGGGGUGCUCGAGUGGCGAACGGGUGAGUAACACGUGAGUAACCUGCCCUUGACUUUGGGAUAACUUCAGGAAACUGGGGCUAAUACCGGAUAGGAGCUCCUGCUGAAUGGUGGGGGUUGGAAAGUUUCGGCGGUUGGGGAUGGACUCGCGGCUUAUCAGCUUGUUGGUGGGGUAGUGGCUUACCAAGGCUUUGACGGGUAGCCGGCCUGAGAGGGUGACCGGCCACAUUGGGACUGAGAUACGGCCCAGACUCCUACGGGAGGCAGCAGUGGGGAAUAUUGCACAAUGGGCGGAAGCCUGAUGCAGCAACGACGCGUGCGGGAUGACGGCCUUCGGGGUGUAAACCGCUUUCGCCUGUGACGAAGCGUGAGUGACGGUAAUGGGUAAAGAAGCACCGGCUAACUACG